rnacentral:rRNA from 1 species
GGUUAAGCGACUAAGCGUACACGGUGGAUGCCCUGGCAGUCAGAGGCGAUGAAGGACGUGCUAAUCUGCGAAAAGCGUCGGUAAGGUGAUAUGAACCGUUACAGCCGGCGAUGUCCGAAUGGGGAAACCCAGUGCAAUUCGUUGCACUAUCGUUAACUGAAUACAUAGGUUAACGAGGCGAACCGGGGGAACUGAAACAUCUAAGUACCCCGAGGAAAAGAAAUCAACCGAGAUUCCCCCAGUAGCGGCGAGCGAACGGGGAGCAGCCCGGAGUCUGAAUCAGCUUGUGUGUUAGUGGAAGCGUCUGGAAAGUCGCAGGGUACAGGGUGAUACUCCCGUACACUAAAACGCACAGGUUGUGAACUCGAAGAGUAGGGCGGGACACGUGGUAUCCUGUCUGAAUAUGGGGGGACCAUCCUCCAAGGCUAAAUACUCCUGACUGACCGAUAGUGAACCAGUACCGUGAGGGAAAGGCGAAAAGAACCCCGGCGAGGGGAGUGAAAAAGAACCUGAAACCGUGUACGUACAAGCAGUAGGAGCCCACUAGUUGGGUGACUGCGUACCUUUUGUAUAAUGGGUCAGCGACUUAUAUUCUGUAGCAAGGUUAACCGUAUAGGGGAGCCGCAGGGAAACCGAGUCUUAACUGGGCGUUAAGUUGCAGGGUAUAGACCCGAAACCCGGUGAUCUAGCCAUGGGCAGGUUGAAGGUUGGGUAACACUAACUGGAGGACCGAACCGACUAAUGUUGAAAAAUUAGCGGAUGACUUGUGGCUGGGGGUGAAAGGCCAAUCAAACCGGGAGAUAGCUGGUUCUCCCCGAAAGCUAUUUAGGUAGCGCCUCGUGAACUCAUCUUCGGGGGUAGAGCACUGUUUCGGCUAGGGGGUCAUCCCGACUUACCAACCCGAUGCAAACUACGAAUACCGAAGAAUGUUAUCACGGGAGACACACGGCGGGUGCUAACGUCCGUCGUGAAGAGGGAAACAACCCAGACCGCCAGCUAAGGUCCCAAAGUCAUGGUUAAGUGGGAAACGAUGUGGGAAGGCCCAGACAGCCAGGAUGUUGGCUUAGAAGCAGCCAUCAUUUAAAGAAAGCGUAAUAGCUCACUGGUCGAGUCGGCCUGCGCGGAAGAUGUAACGGGGCUAAACCAUGCACCGAAGCUGCGGCAGCGACACUAUGUGUUGUUGGGUAGGGGAGCGUUCUGUAAGCCGUUGAAGGUGGCCUGUGAGGGUUGCUGGAGGUAUCAGAAGUGCGAAUGCUGACAUAAGUAACGAUAAUGCGGGUGAAAAACCCGCACGCCGGAAGACCAAGGGUUCCUGUCCAACGUUAAUCGGGGCAGGGUGAGUCGACCCCUAAGGCGAGGCCGAAAGGCGUAGUCGAUGGGAAACAGGUUAAUAUUCCUGUACUCGGUGUUACUGCGAAGGGGGGACGGAGAAGGCUAUGUUGGCCGGGCGACGGUUGUCCCGGUUUAAGCAUGUAGGCGGAUGUUCCAGGUAAAUCCGGAACGUUAUCAACGCUGAGGUGUGAUGACGAGGCACUACGGUGCUGAAGUGACAAAUGCCCUGCUUCCAGGAAAAGCCUCUAAGCAUCAGGUAACAUCAAAUCGUACCCCAAACCGACACAGGUGGUCAGGUAGAGAAUACCAAGGCGCUUGAGAGAACUCGGGUGAAGGAACUAGGCAAAAUGGUGCCGUAACUUCGGGAGAAGGCACGCUGAUGGUAAGUGAAGUGACUUGCUCAUGGAGCUGAAAUCAGUCGAAGAUACCAGCUGGCUGCAACUGUUUAUUAAAAACACAGCACUGUGCAAACACGAAAGUGGACGUAUACGGUGUGACGCCUGCCCGGUGCCGGAAGGUUAAUUGAUGGGGUUAUCCGUAAGGAGAAGCUCUUGAUCGAAGCCCCGGUAAACGGCGGCCGUAACUAUAACGGUCCUAAGGUAGCGAAAUUCCUUGUCGGGUAAGUUCCGACCUGCACGAAUGGCGUAAUGAUGGCCAGGCUGUCUCCACCCGAGACUCAGUGAAAUUGAACUCGCUGUGAAGAUGCAGUGUACCCGCGGCAAGACGGAAAGACCCCGUGAACCUUUACUAUAGCUUGACACUGAACACUGGUCCUUGAUGUGUAGGAUAGGUGGGAGGCUUUGAAGUGUGGACGCCAGUCUGCAUGGAGCCAUCCUUGAAAUACCACCCUUUAAUGGCUGGUGUUCUAACGUGGGCCCCUAAUCGGGGUUGCGGACAGUGUCUGGUGGGUAGUUUGACUGGGGCGGUCUCCUCCUAAAGAGUAACGGAGGAGCACGAAGGUCAGCUAAUCCUGGUCGGACAUCAGGAGGUUAGUGCAAUGGCAUAAGCUGGCUUGACUGCGAGCGUGACGGCGCGAGCAGGUGCGAAAGCAGGUCAUAGUGAUCCGGUGGUUCUGAAUGGAAGGGCCAUCGCUCAACGGAUAAAAGGUACUCCGGGGAUAACAGGCUGAUACCGCCCAAGAGUUCAUAUCGACGGCGGUGUUUGGCACCUCGAUGUCGGCUCAUCACAUCCUGGGGCUGAAGUAGGUCCCAAGGGUAUGGCUGUUCGCCAUUUAAAGUGGUACGCGAGCUGGGUUUAGAACGUCGUGAGACAGUUCGGUCCCUAUCUGCCGUGGGCGCUGGAGAAUUGAGGGGGGCUGCUCCUAGUACGAGAGGACCGGAGUGGACGCAUCACUGGUGUUCGGGUUGUCAUGCCAAUGGCAUUGCCCGGUAGCUAAAUGCGGAAGAGAUAAGUGCUGAAAGCAUCUAAGCACGAAACUUGCCCCGAGAUGAGUUCUCCCUGACCCUUUAAGGGUCCUGAAGGAACGUUGAAGACGACGACGUUGAUAGGCCGGGUGUGUAAGCGCAGCGAUGCGUUGAGCUAACCGGUACUAAUGAACCGUGAGGCUUAACCUU